UGCAAUGCUGUCGGUGUGCAUGCAUGACUCUGCAGGCUGCGUGUGGGCUCGCCAUGAAAUGGCGCGCGCGCGCGCACACACAAAACAACUCGUCGAAACUGCUCGUAAUUUAGUUACUUUCCUUUUUCAGUUACGUUAUGGUGCAUUCUGCUGAGUAUCCAAGGAAUUUCAGGUCGCUCUCAUCAGCUAGCUCGCGCUCGCUAGAGUCGAAGAAAUGAAUAAUAUUAAGUUUUCCACUUUAGAUAUAUGUCAGCCGACUGAAUUUUUAUUUUGGAUCAGUCGAAUUUGUU
rnacentral:lncRNA from 1 species